rnacentral:rRNA from 1 species
UACAGAGGUCUCAAGCGUUGUUCGGAUUCAUUGGGCGUAAAGGGUGCGUAGGUGGCGCCGUAAGUCGGGUGUGAAAUUUCGGAGCUUAACUCCGAAACUGCAUUCGAUACUGCGGUGCUUGAGGACUGGAGAGGAGACUGGAAUUCAUGGUGUAGCAGUGAAAUGCGUAGAGAUCAUGAGGAAGACCAGUGGCGAAGGCGGGUCGUCUGGACAGUUCCUGACGCUGAGACACGAAGGCCAGGGGAGCAAACGGG